GACGAACGCUGGCGGCGUGCCUAAUACAUGCAAGUAGAACGCUGAAGAGAGGAGCUUGCUCUUCUUGGAAGAGUUGCGAACGGGUGAGUAACGCGUAGGUAACCUGCCUUGUAGCGGGGGAUAACUAUUGGAAACGAUAGCUAAUACCGCAUAACAAUGGGUGACCCAUGUCAUUCAUUUGAAAGGGGCAACUGCUCCACUACAAGAUGGACCUGCGUUGUAUUAGCUAGUAGGUGAGGUAACGGCUCACCUAGGCGACGAUACAUAGCCGACCUGAGAGGGUGAUCGGCCACACUGGGACUGAGACACGGCCCAGACUCCUACGGGAGGCAGCAGUAGGGAAUCUUCGGCAAUGGGGGCAACCCUGACCGAGCAACGCCGCGUGAGUGAAGAAGGUUUUCGGAUCGUAAAGCUCUGUUGUAAGUCAAGAACGAGUGUGAGAGUGGAAAGUUCACACUGUGACGGUAGCUUACCAGAAAGGGACGGCUAACUACGUGCCAGCAGCCGCGGUAAUACGUAGGUCCCGAGCGUUGUCCGGAUUUAUUGGGCGUAAAGCGAGCGCAGGCGGUUUGAUAAGUCUGAAGUUAAAGGCUGUGGCUCAACCAUAGUUUGCUUUGGAAACUGUCAAACUUGAGUGCAGAAGGGGAGAGUGGAAUUCCAUGUGUAGCGGUGAAAUGCGUAGAUAUAUGGAGGAACACCGGUGGCGAAAGCGGCCCUCUGGUCUGUAACUGACGCUGAGGCUCGAAAGCGUGGGGAGCGAACAGG
rnacentral:rRNA from 1 species